GACAGAGGAUGCAAGCGUUAUCCGGAAUGAUUGGGCGUAAAGCGUCUGUAGGUGGCUUUUUAAGUUCGCCGUCAAAUCCCAGGGCUCAACCCUGGACAGGUGGUGAAAACUACUAAGCUAGAGUACGGUAGGGGCAGAGGGAAUUUCCGGUGGAGCGAUGAAAUGCGUAGAGAUCGGAAGGAACACCAACGGCGAAAGCACUCUGCUGGGCCGACACUGACACUGAGAGACGAAAGCUAGGGGAGCGAAUGGG
rnacentral:rRNA from 1 species